AUACGGAAGGUCCGGGCGUUAUCCGGAUUUAUUGGGUUUAAAGGGAGCGCAGGCGGAGAUGCAAGCGUGACGUCAAAUUUCGGGGCUCAACCCCGUCUCGCGUCGCGAACUGCGUCCCUUGGUUGCGGGAAGGGGAGGCGGAACUCGUGGUGUAGCGGUGAAAUGCAUAGAUAUCACGAAGAACUCCGAUCGCGAAGGCAGCCUUCCGGCCCGUCAACGACGCUCAUGCUCGAAGGUGCGGGUAUCAAACAGGAUUAGAUACCCUGGUAGUCCGCACAGUAAACGAUGGACACCCGCGGUUUGGCCUAUAUGGCUGAGCCGCCAAGCGAAAGCGUUAAGUGUCCCACCUGGGGAGUACGCCGGCAACGGUGGAACUCAAAGGAAUUGACGGGG
rnacentral:rRNA from 1 species